rnacentral:rRNA from 1 species
AGCGAACGCUGGCGGCAGGCCUAAUACAUGCAAGUCGAGCGCACCUUCGGGUGAGCGGCGGACGGGUGAGUAACGCGUGGGAAUGUGCCCUUUGGUACGGAACAACUGAGGGAAACUUCAGCUAAUACCGUAUGUGCCCUUCGGGGGAAAGGAUUUAUCGCCAUUGGAGCAGCCCGCGUUGGAUUAGGUAGUUGGUGAGGUAAAGGCUCACCAAGCCGACGAUCCAUAGCUGGCUGAGAGGAUGAUCAGCCACACUGGGACUGAGACACGGCCCAGACUCCUACGGGAGGCAGCAGUAGGGAAUCUUGCGCAAUGGGCGAAAAGCCUGACGCAGCCAUGCCGCGUGAAUGAUGAA